CAGAAGAAGCACCGGCUAACUCCCGUGCCAGCAGCCGCGGUAAUACGGAGGGGUGCGAGCGUUAAUCGGAAUUACCUGGGCGUAAAGCGCGACUGCACGGCGGCCUGUUAAGUCAGAUGUGAAAGCCCCGGGGCUUAACCUCGGAAUUGCAUUUGAAACUGGCAGGCUAGAGUCUUGUAGAGGGGGGUAGGAAUUUCUAGGUGUAGCGGUGAAAUGCGUACGGAGUAUCUGAAGGAAUACCCAGUGGCGAAGGCGGCCCCCCUGGACCAAAGACUGACGCUCAGAUGCGAAAGCGUGGGGAGCAAACAGGAUUAGAUACCCCUGGUAG
rnacentral:rRNA from 1 species